AAUAGAACGAGAUUGGUGUCUUUCAUUUGGAAGAAAAGGGUAAUUCGCUCAAAGAGACAGAGACAAGUUGCAGUAGCACAAGCAAACUUUCCCUGAGUCCACAGAAGAUGAAAAGGACUUGUUCUCGUGACUGAUCAGUCGUACCUUGAUGAGUGCAUCAACAACCGCAACGAACCCUCUGCAGCACGCAAGGACAAGAGCAUGAACAGCAACAUGUGGACGGAUCAUUUGGGAUCCCAUGGGCAUUUCGGAAAUCCUUGGCUGCCCCGCGUAGCUUGCCUCCACUAAGGCCUCCUCACAUGCAUCACGAGAUGCCCCUGCGGUCAUAAGAACUUCGGCAACCUUAAUAUGACCCUCUCGUACGGGGGCUGUUGUGGCAUAGCCCCUGAACAGUUUCUGGUUGACGUCAGCUCCCAUGCUCUGCCACAUGAAUAUGUGCAAAUCAAGUUAAUUUGAUACGGAA